GCUGUUGAGUAGCGGCGAGCGGCGCCACUCCUUCAGUGGGGCUGCCCGGGCCUGGGAGCUGUCACCGUCAUGGGGUUCCGCAGGAAAAACAAGAGACUGGUGGUGCUAAGCCAUGAGUUCGUCAUUCAGAACCAUGCGGACACCGCGUCUUGCCUGGUGAUGGUCUUCCUGCUGGGGCUCAUGUUUGAGGCCUCAGCCAAGUACGCUAUCAUCUUUAUUGCUGUGCAGUACAAUGUCACCUAUACCAUUGAUGACAACAGUGAGCAAUUUCAUUUUUAUGACUAUGGUCCAAAAGACAUUGCCACAAUCUUCUUCUACAUGCUCGUAGCAAUUAAUCUGCAUGCUGUAAUCCAGGAGUACGUAUUAGAUAAAAUUAAUAGACGUCUGCAUUUGUCAAAAACAAAGCACAGCAAAUUCAAUGAAUCAGGACAGCUAGCAUUUUUCUACUUGUUUUCAUUUAUAUGGGGAGCAAGUAUUUUGAAUGCAGAAGAAUUCAUGAUGAACCCAACCUCACUCUGGAAAGACUAUCCCCAUUGUCGCAUGCUUUUUCAGGUAAAAUUCUUCUAUAUUUGUCAGAUAGCCUAUUGGCUUCAUGCACUGCCGGAGCUAUACUUCCAAAAGAUCCGAAAGGAAGAUAUUCCAAGGCAGCUAUGUUAUAUUUGCCUUUACAUUGCUCAUAUCUCUGGUGCCUAUAUAUUAAAUUUGCAGCAUUUGGGGCUAUUUCUGAUGGUACCUCACUAUUUAGCAGAACUCAUUUUUCAUGCCUCACGUCUUUUCUACUUCAGUGAUGAAAACAAGCAAAAAGGAUUUACCAUUUGGGCUUUACUUUUUGUAAUGGUGCGUCUUUUGACCCUAACUUUAUCUGUCCUCACCUUUGGAUUUGGUCUGGCAAGAGUAGAGAAUCCAGGUUUUUCCAUAGCAGACGGAAACUUCAAUGUACUCCCUGUGAGGUAUAACAAGGGUUGGUUGCCUGGGUGCUGUUUGUCUAACACAGGCCUGGAUGAUGUGGAAAUUUAUAAAUUUUCAGCUGAAGAAAUGGAGAGAGCAUGUUAAGAACCAGGUUCCGAAGAAAAAAAUAACUAACACAAAGAACAAACGAACAAAAAAGGAACCAAACAGAGCUAACUUUGUCAAUGGAGCAGCAAAAUUAGACGGUGGAAUGUCGCCAAGAAUAAGAAAAUCAAAACCUGUAUGAUAGUACAAGCCAGUAUCAGAAGACAACAUUUGACAGAAGACUGUGACUUACAAAAUUGACCCUGCAGAGCUAUUAUUUGGAUGUCUUAUUAUUUCAAUGGACACUAUCAGGUUAUAUUUUUUUAAAUAUUAUUGUUAAUAACCCUACAUUUAUGACAAUAUCGUCUUUGACCUACCUUAACUAAGCAGUUAUCUCCAAAUUUCACUUAGCUUUAAGAAUGAAAACAGAUUAAUCUGUUUGAACUGAUCACAGAACCAGAAGAGGUUAUUACAUUUCUGUAAUAUUUGCAUUACAGACACUUCAGAAGGCUGCCUAAAUUGAAGUUACCUGCCUAUUCAUCUGUUCUUAUAAAAUCAAAGUUCUGUAGCAGAAAGAUCGAACCAUGUCUGUCUGUUCCCUCCCCAUCUUCCCUCCCCAAGAAUUUUUUCUAUAUUCAUCUUACAUGGAGUAAGAGGUUAUAUCUGAAGUAGCCUGCUAAAAAAGCAAAAAUUGUCCUAUACCCGAUUUCACUUCAACAAUUACAGAUUAAGAGAGGGCAAAUUCUGACAGGACUUCACUAAUCUUCUUUCAUUAUAAAGAUGAGACUAAUAUUUAGUAAAGAUGCAAAUUGUAUGUCUUGGGAAAAAUGUUGGAUUUUGCAGUGGAUUAUACUAUUUUGUAUGGGGCAGGGAUUGAAGGGAGGAAAAGUAGCCAAUUAAUCUGUAGGAUAAUCCUAGCCCUUCUGAAAUAGAAGACAAAACUUCCAAAUAUUUCUAAAGAGCAAGUAUUUCAUGCUUGCAAUCACAUGUGCCAGAUCAUUUUUCCUCAACUGCUGUUUUCCUUUAAUUUGUAACUGACAUGUCUUAAACUUCUGAGUCUACUCAGAUGAUGUUCAGCAGAGGUGCUCAAACAGUAUUACAAUGAAUGUUUCACCAAGCAUAACCUUUUUUCUUUCUUAACCUGUAGAUAAUAAUUUAUUUUAGUCUGACUCAAGGGGUUUAUGUCUAUGAAGAUAUUAAUUUGCUCCUUAUGUGAACACUAUCUGGAUAUGAUUUUAAUAUUAAUAUGAUUAUAUUAUAAAAAGAUGAAUGGCAUUUUUCUAAGUAACCCUCAUAGAAUUGAGGCUGGUAUCUCAAUGUUGGAUAAGUUUCAUGAACUCACUUUCUUAUUUGCCAUAACUUUCCCUCUGUGCAAAUAGACUGUAGGAAUACUACAUUAAUUCACAUAAGCCUAUACAUUUCUACUGAAAAUGUUUACCAUGAAACUAGAACACAUUUGCUAAUAUUUUUCAUAAACUUGUAUAAUAAUGAAUGCCUCAUGAGAUAAAAGUAUCAUCUUUUGAGCAGCUGUGUGAGAUUUGCUUAGCCUUCAAGUAUUUCUCAGCGUGCCGCUCACAAGACAGUGUUUUCUUUGAUGUACCCUGCAACUGUAAGUUUGCACUCCCUGUAGAUUUCAGUUUGUGCACAUCUAAGUUACCAGGCUUUCAAAAGUGGAUCCAGACAGUGGUUUAGGUGCCAGUAUCCAAUUCUCGGUGCAUAAAACUAGACAGUUUCAUAUUCAUUUUUUGUGCAAAUUUCACAGUGUAAUUAGUUUACACAUAUAAAGAUAGUGCCACUGGAUUUACAAAUUAAGAAAAUGAGCAGGUUGGUGUAAUAACUAGUUCAUUAACAAAAAAAGCAAGCGUAUAUGCAGUGAUUCUUACUUUUUUUAUUUGUACUUCAUUGGCUUGCUAAUAGUCUGUGAAAGUUGAAAUACAAAGUGGUGGUGAGAUGAUAAUGAAGAUGAUUUUUUUUUUUUUUUUGUUAAAUGCUAUAUUUUUUGUUUCUGGCUGAGUGGGAAUGACAACUCAGGAAAGUAGAACUUGGGUGAAAACAAUGAAUUCACUUGCUCAGAUGUACUUUAAGCAACUUUUUUCUUUUUUAAAUUUACAAGACUAAGAUGAUUCUGAGCUUAUCUCUGCAAUUACUUUUUAAGAUCCUUUUACAUUGUUUAAAUUAAAAUUCGCUGGUUUGUUCCAGGGUUAGAAAAAACUCACAUUCGGAGAUUGUUCCAUGUAUAAAGCACAAUAUUUUAUAGGGAAGGUAUGAGAUAUAGGUCAUCAACUAUGAAUUCCCAAGUGCUUGACAGUUUCUUUUGAUUGCAUCUUUCAGAAACACUGCCAAAAAUAUCUAGAAAUUACUUUUCUUUAACCACAUACUUAAACUAAUUCCAAACCCCUCAUGUCACAGCAAGAUCUGAGGUCAAUCCAGGCAUCUUGUUAUGAAGUCAAUGAAACAAAAUGCACAGUAGGACUCUUGGCUAAGUACUUCUGUAUGAAUGAGACCUAAUUAAAGCUAAAUCCUAAACCAAGGGUAACAAGAAUACUGCAAAGUCGCAGAGGAUCUUCCGAAGUCUUAAAAACACAGGUCCUAAGUGCCAUGAACCAGACAAGAUAGAAAGCCUGUUCUGGAGGUCUAGGAUAAAAACUGCAGCGUGUUAGGGUUAUGUUUGGUGGGGUUUGUUUGGUGGGGGUUUUUGUUGUUGUUUGGUCAGGAUUUUUUUUGUUGUUGUUUAAAUAUAGUUUUGUCAGUUUUUCUGAGACAUAAGCUGAUAGCAUUUAUCACUUUGUUUCAAUAUUAUGAAUGUCACAUAGAGUAAUAAUCAGAUUAGACACUCAUUUCUUCUUGUUUCAACCAUAUGGCCUUUGCUGAAGUUGCAUUAAGUCUGUCAGCACGGAUGUUGAGGCAUGUUCCCUAGUGAUGUAAUAUUGUAAUGAAUUAAGCUCUUUUUACAUGCAUUUUACAUAUUUAAUUUAUGUAAAUCUUAAGAUUUUCAGAGGAACUGUAUGCUCUAUCUUGUCACUAUCUAAUUGUAAAGUUAAUUCAUAUGUUAGAGGUUCUUUGCAAGUAAUCAUGUGCACAUCAAAAUAUAAAAUACUACCGUGCACCUGCUUUGGGAAAAUAAAAUAAGUACUCUUACUUCUAACCUUCCUUUCCUCCUAGUGGGUAUGUAAGAGUUGAUUUACCUCCUGAAUAUUCUUCUAAAGGAAGGGCAUCUUCUAGGUGAUGCAGAAAAGUUUAUGUUACAAAUCUGUAUCUCAGCUUUUGAACUGUAUAAUAGGAAUGAACAGGUUGUCUUGAUUUUAAGAGUAAUAAGAAACUUUCUUAAGCUGAUAUAUUUUACAUUCUCUUCCUACUGAGGUUUUGAGUUGGCCACAUAGAGUGGAAUAGAAAGGAGGUUGUAUGGUGGCAUAGCCAUGUGGACAAGAGUGUUGCUGUUGCCUGCUCUUGUUCAAGUCUACUAAAAAUUGAAAUUAUUCAGGAUAGGUUUUAAAAAUGCAGAAUGUUGUCUGGGAGCUGGAGUUUUAAGCAAGUCUGAAAAAAUGCUAAUUUCUAAAUGCUCAGCCUUGUUGAGUGCUAUGUAACUUUGUAAAUAAUUAAUUAGUUUCAUUAUUUUGUUGAUAAAUGAAUUCGGAUGGAGAAGGCAAUGUUUCAUCUAUAUUUGUUUCUUAAUGUUAAAAUGGGCUGCUGCAUCUACUUAAAUUGAAAGCACACAUAUACUUCCAUUCUUAAACCAUCUGAAUGUUUUACCACAAAGAAAUUCUAGCAGUAAAAGAAACGGGUAAAACAACACUGAUACUGUAAACCAUUAACUUUUAGAUACUUAGCUUUAGGCCUUGGUAGCUGGAAUCGAGUUUAUGAAUUUACUGACCAUGAGAAAGAGAUAAAUGUUUACAAACUAAUAUUGUUGUAACAUUUCUCUGUUACAAUUAUUCCCUAAAAUUCUUACAUAUAGUUACUCUUUCAAUGAAACCAGCAGUGUACUCCAUAUUACAUGCGUGACUGUCUGAUUACAACAAAUAUACUGGUUUGUUUUUAAUUCCCCUUAGGAUGUAUUUUCUUUUUAGUUUAUUGACAUGUCUGUCCAUUUUCUGGUUAAACAGUUAUUGUUGAAAUGUGUUGGUUUAAAAGAUUGCAUUAUGAAAAAAUAAUUCACGUAAUCACUGUAUAAAGUAAAAUUAUGGUUUAGUGAAUGGUUGCUGAAAAUAUAACAUUUUGCUGAAACACUAGUUUCUUUUACAUGUUUUGUUUUAUACUGUUUUACAUGAGGAUUUGUUGAUUGUUUAAUAUAUAAUCAAUAAUCCAUAGCACGAGACAAGUUUUGAGCGUAUGUAAGGUUGCCGUUACUCAUUUGAUAAGAUACUGCUAAAGAAAACUUUAUCCCUUUAAAAACAAAGAAAAAUAAUCUUCUCUAAGGAUGUAUUUCUGAUGUAUCUAAUUUCACUCUAUAAUGUUAUUUAAUUUCCUUUGUUACCAUUAAAUAAUUUGUUUAUUUUGCUAAACCAGUUACUCUUGAUAGUCUGGUCAAUUAGGCAGUUAGCCACACAAACUGGAUUGCUAGUCUAAGAAGAAGGUAUGUAUGUACUUUUGGAUUUAUUAAAAAAAAAAAAAAUCAGAACCUACUCCAAUUCUUCAACACUUUUACCCAUUUUCUGUCAGUGUUGGUUUUCUUUGCUUCUCAUUCAAUGCCAGAACAAUUUUUCUUUUCAGCCCUUGUGAUGUCUGUAUGGUAAUAUCGGGGUCAGUACACCAGAUAUUCUCCUCAACUCCAGUCAAGCAGUCUGCAAUCAAUCUGCUGCAAACUAUUACUUAGUGUACAGAAAAAAAAAUAUCAAAACAAUAAGUAAAAAUUUUGCAGUUAUCAAAAAGUGCCAGUUCAAACCCAGAAAACAUGGUGGUAAUGUGACAAACCUUAGUUCUGCUUAACCUAGUUAGAUAGGGAAGCCAAAAUUAAAGUAAGUUUAUGAAUCCAAUAUGAAAGAUGUUAUGGGGGGGGGAGGAUUUUAGUUUUGGGGGAGUGGAGAGGGUUGUUUUCUUUUGUUUUGUCUGUUUCUAAUUUGGGAAGGGAAGAAGGGAUGAUGGAAAGCUACUUCUGUGCCAGAGUAUUAUUGGAAAAUGUCAUAUCCUAGAACUGUUGGGGGAGUUUUUUGCCCUUUUUUUUCUUUUGGCUUUUUUUUUAAUGAGGAUGUUGUUAAUAUUUCUUUGCAAAACAUUUAAAAAAUAAAUUUUUUUUAAAAAUCCUGUUAAUAGAUCGAACAGAAAGAAAUCUAAGCUCAUGUAAAACUUGUUAUAAAGAAUGCCUGUUAAUCAUAGUGGGUUUUUUUCUGUCUCUGAGCAGAGAACAAUUAAAUGGGCUGAAGAAACGGGAUGUUUCUCUUGCGCUAAUUGUCCAAACAGAAAUUGAUCUUGGAAAAUUCAGGAGACAAAUUAGUUUUGUAGAGAGAUGCCUGUGUGGAAGAGAAAACGUUUUCUGGAGAAGAAUAGAUGAUGGAAAAUGAUGACUGACUGAGUUACUGUCACAAUAAAAAUUAAUGGUAGUGUCCAAAAA